rnacentral:misc_RNA from 1 species
GAUGAAGAACGCAGCGAAAUGCGAUACUUGGUGUGAAUUGCAGAAUCCCGUGAACCAUCGAGUCUUUGAACGCAAGUUGCGCCCGAAGCCAUCAGGUUGAGGGCACGUCUGCCUGGGCGUCACAUAUCGUUGCCCAAUGCCUAUUGCAGUGCAAUAGGAAUUUCUAGGGCGAAUGAUGGCUUCCCGUGAGCGUUGUUGCCUCGCGGUUGGUUGAAAAUCGAGUCCUUGGUAGGGUGUGCCAUGGUAGAUGGUGGUCGAGUUAGAACGAGACCGAUCAUGUGCAUGCUCCCCAAAAUAUGGCCUCUAUGACCCACACGCGUCUUUUGACGCUCAUGACGAGACCUCAGGUCAGGCGGGGCUACCCGCUGAAUUUAAGCAUAUCAAUAAGCGGAGGA